AUUGAACGCUGGCGGCAGGCCUAACACAUGCAAGUCGAGCGAGCGGCGGACGGGUGAGUAAUGCCUGGGAAUGGCCCAGUCGAGGGGACUAAAAGUUGGAAACGACUGCUAAUACCGCAUACGAUUUGAUUGCCCAGGUGGAGUUAGCUAGUUGGUGAGGUAAUGGCCCACAAAGGCGACGAUCCCUAGCUGGUCUGAAAGGAUGAUCGGCCAAAUUGUAACUGAGCAACGGUCCAGACUCCUCAGGGAGGCAGCAGUGGGGAAUAUUGCACAAUGGGGGAAACCCGGAGGCAGCCAUCCGGCGGGGUGGAAGAAGGCCUCCGGGUUGUAAAGCACUUUCAGCGAGGCGGCGGUACUCGCAGAAGAAGCACCGGCUAACUACGUGCCAGCAGCCGCGGUAAUUC
rnacentral:rRNA from 1 species